rnacentral:rRNA from 1 species
CAGGUCUGUAGCAAUACAGAUGCUGGCGACCGGCAAACGGGUGCGGAACACGUACACAACCUUCCUUUAAGUGGGGAAUAGCCCAGGGAAACUUGGAUUAAUACCCCGUAACAUAUAGAAGAGGCAUCUCUUUCAUAUUAUAGCUACGGCGCUUGAAGAUGGGUGUGCGGCUGAUUAGGUAGUUGGCGGGGUAACGGCCCACCAAGCCUACGAUCAGUAACUGGUGUGAGAGCACGACCAGUCACACGGGCACUGAGACACGGGCCCGACUCCUACGGGAGGCAGCAGUAAGGAAUAUUGGUCAAUGGACGCAAGUCUGAACCAGCCAUGCCGCGUGGAGGAUGAAGGUCCUCUGGAUUGUAAACUUCUUUUAUCUGGGACGAAAAAAGGGAAUUCUUUCUCACUUGACGGUACCAGAUGAAUAAGCACCGGCUAACUCCGUGCCAGCAGCCGCGGUAAUACGGAGGGUGCAAGCGUUAUCCGGAUUCACUGGGUUUAAAGGGUGCGUAGGUGGGCUUGUAAGUCAGUGGUGAAAUCUCCGGGCUUAACUCGGAAACUGCCAUUGAUACUAUAAGUCUUGAAUACCAUGGAGGUGAGCGGAAUAUGUCAUGUAGCGGUGAAAUGCUUAGAUAUGACAUAGAACACCAAUUGCGAAGGCAGCUCGCUACGCGGUUAUUGACACUGAGGCACGAAAGCGUGGGGAUCAAACAGGAUUAGAUACCCUGGUAGUCCACGCCCUAAACGAUGGAUACUCGACAUCAGCGAUACACUGUUGGUGUCUGAGCGAAAGCAUUAAGUAUCCCACCUGGGAAGUACGACCGCAAGGUUG